rnacentral:rRNA from 1 species
UACGGAGGAUCCAAGCGUUAUCCGGAUUUAUUGGGUUUAAAGGGUGCGUAGGCGGCUUAUUAAGUCAGGGGUGAAAGACGGUGGCUCAACCAUCGCAGUGCCUUUGAUACUGAUGAGCUUGAAUACACUUGAGGUAGGCGGAAUGUGACAAGUAGCGGUGAAAUGCAUAGAUAUGUCGCAGAACACCAAUUGCGAAGGCAGCUUACUAAGGUGUUAUUGACGCUGAGGCACGAAAGCGUGGGGAUCAAACAGG